GCCCGCCUAGCUCAAUCGGAUAGAGCGUCAGACUUUUAAAGCUGUUCGUCCCGCGAGGCCCCCUCGUAGGGGUCCUCGCGGCGCGACUGUGCCAUCUGAAGGCUGCGAGUUCGACCCUCGCGGUGGGCU